GUGGUAGAACCAUCACACUGAGGGAUGGGAAAGUACAGGAAGAGAUAGACGGGAGGUCGAUGCAGAGAUGGGGAGAGUUGGAAGUGGGGGGCGGGGGACACGUAGAGAAUGCAGGUGGAGUGACAAGGCUAGAAACCAUGCUGAGAAAAUUCAGGCAUUGGUUUGUAGGUAGUUUCGACAGUGAGCAGUGUGACAUGCUCCAGACACACCAUGGAAAAGUCAUCUUGGUGGCACAUUGAAAUUUGGCCUGGGAAGGGCUGAAGAUGGGGACAGGUUAGGGGUAUGUCAGUGCUAUAAGGGGCUGAAAAUGCACUGCAACCACAGCAAAGGUCAGGUGCCUGAGAUGACAACAAUAAUGAACCGCGGCCCUAAGUGGCAGGUCUGUUGCCCCAUCUUACAGACGAAGAAACUGAGGCUCAGAAAGGAGAGUUUACAGGUGAGAAAACAGAAGCUUGGAGACAUUACGAAACGCGCCUCGGGCCACACAGCUAGUUAACAGUAAACGUCUGACUCCCAAGGGCAUCUGCAUAGACAAAUACGGGAAAGAUGCGGAAGAAUCCACCCCCAAGGGAUUGUAAAGCUGCAGCCCGGACUAAAGGAAAGAAACGAAUGUAGAAGUCAGAAAAGAUGAAGAAUGUGUGAGAUCGAGGACUCACGGAGGAGAGACCUUCCAGAAGGGAGUCAACAGUAUCAGCUGCCUCCGAAAGACCCAACCAACAGGAUGAAGACCAAGAUGAGGAAAGAGGAGAGCCACUGACGCCCUCACAUUUCUUCUGGAAAACGUUUAUUUGUUAUUUAUCUCCAGCCACCUUCCUGUCUCAGUCCAGACCCACAUUUUCCAUCGCGUCUUCCUGGAUGUCAUUACCUGGCAAUUCUGCUUGGCAGGGACCUGGCUUCAGCCACAGCGACGAGUGCCACUACCUGGAACACGCAGAGACAAGGAUGAGCUGCGGGAGCACAGCCUCCGCGCAGGCCCACACCACCCAGCUGGGACCCACGAAUCUGCUCUUUGGAACCCACGGAAGAACCCAGGGGGCAGCGAUUUCAGUCAAGACAGGACCUGAUCACGUCCACGGCAGCUCUGGGUGGGCGAGGGGCCCCACGCAGGAAGCCAGGCCAACAGGGGCUGAGAAGCAAGUGCGGCGGAGGCUUGACCCAGGAGUUCACAGGACGGAAGAGGUGGAUGAGAGAGUCAGAGCAGAGGAGGCCUGGGCACGUGACCAACGACGAAGCAAGAGUCUGGAGGGGACAGAGUUCAAAGGAGAGGGAGGGUGUCUGCUUGGUCACCAGCUAGGGAGGGUGCAGGGGCGAUGACUCCAGCUCUUUGACACGGCCGGUUUACAGCGAUGAGUGGAGGAGCUGCAAGGGACUUGGACUGAGGGAGCGGCUCCCGGAAAGCCGUGGACAUUCACGUAGAAGUUUAGAGGGGGCCCAGGCUGAAGAGUCCAGGCUCAUCGAGGAUGGGUGACCGCGGGCGCCGUGGGAGUCCACGGCCUCCUCCAGGGAGAGGCUGUAAAUGAGACAGAAAGCUGGACCCUGCAGAGACCCACCUCGGAAGGGAGGCAGGAGAGCAGCCAAUGAAACGCGAGAAGGAGAGGAGAGUGAGAGAGAUGGAGACACAGAGAGAGAGACAGACAGAGACCAAAGGGCAGAAAGGUCGAGCCAAAUGAACCCUGCCAGGCCACCGGACUGUGCGGCUCAGAGGUCACUGGGCAUCCCUGAGUCUUGUUCUUUUGCUGACUCUGCCAUGAAUGUCCUUGCCCUUAGUAAAGACACAGCCAAGUAAUUAGGGAUAAGGAGACAUGACAUCUGCAGUUUACCUGCAAAUGGUUUAGAGAAUAAUACGUAUAUACAUAGAGAGAGAGAGAAUGCUAAAGCAAAUGUGGCAGACGUUCACAAGCGGAGAAUCUGGGCCAAGAGUUUGGGGGAUUGUUUACAAGAAUGAGUGUCAGAGCGACCGUCAGUUUUAGCCUCCACCGAAACUGAUGGACUGGACUGAAGACGGAGGCGCCAUCUGGAGUUAAUGCUCUCCGCCCAACACUACUCCUUGCCUGUACUUUGCGCGAUUCAAGAG
ensembl:lncRNA